UACGGGGGGAGCAAGGCGUUGUUCGGAUUUACUGGGCGUAAAGGGCGCGUAGGCGGCCACCGCAAGUCGGUUGUGAAAUCUCUGGGCUUAACCCAGAAAGGUCAACCGAUACUGCGGGGCUAGAGUGCAGGAAGGGGCAACUGGAAUUCGUCGGUGGUAGCGUGGAAAUGCGCAGGAUAAUCAGGAGGAACACCGGUGGCGAAGGCGGUGG
rnacentral:rRNA from 1 species